rnacentral:rRNA from 1 species
UUGGGAGAAAGGGGUAGCAAUAUCCCGAGUACACCGGCGCAAGGGUGAGUAGCACGUAGGCAACCUGCCUUCAGGACGGGGAUAACUUCGAGAAAUCGAGGCUAAUACCCGAUGAUGCAGCGGCAUCGCAUGAUGACAGUUGUUAAAAGCUCCCAAAGAGCGCCUGAAGAUGGGCCUGCGUCCCAUUAGAUAGUUGGCGGGGUAAUGGCCCACCAAGUCGACGAUGGGUAGCUGGUCUGAGAGGACGACCAGCCACACUGGAACUGAGACACGGUCCAGACUCCUACGGGAGGCAGCAGUGAGGAAUAUUGCGCAAUGCCCGCAAGGGUGACGCAGCGACGCCGCGUGGAGGAUGAAGGCCCUAUGGGUCGUAAACUCCUUUUGUGGGGGAAGAAUAGUUCGCUAUAGGCGAAUAUGACGGUACCCCAUGAAUAAGCACCGGCUAACUACGUG